GACGAACCGUGCGAACGUUGUUCGGAAUCACUGGGCUUAAAGGGCGCGUAGGCGGCCGAGCGGGUCGUGGGUGAAAUCCCCCGGCUCAACCGGGGAAUUGCGCCUGAUACUGGCGGGCUCGAGAUCGGUAGGGGUGAGCGGAACUCCAGGUGGAGCGGUGAAAUGCGUAGAUAUCUGGAGGAACACCGGUGGCGAAGGCGGCAUUCUGGACCGACAUUGACGCUGAGGAGCGAAAGCCAGGGGAGCAAACGGG
rnacentral:rRNA from 1 species